GCUUAGAUCUGGUAGCAAGUUUCAAGAGGCUGUGUAGCAGACUGCAGCCCACAGGAGUCCAUUCACAUGGAUCUCCAUACACAAGCAGUGGACUUCAGAUGUAAAUGAAGAGGAAUAACCAGGGAGGGUUCCUUCAAGGGACAGUAAAGUGCCAAGAGCUGCAUGAAGAGUACAGUGCAAAUGUUUUGAGAGUCUCCCACAAAAGGAUCUGUUGUUUUGGAUGAUGUAGGAUCACAACUUUCAGCAUUAUGAUGCCAAAGCAGUCACCAAACUGGACAGUGGAUUAGAUGACUGAGUUCCAUGGUUAUUUGCAUUUUUAUCCUGCGUUUCUGAUCCAGUAUCUGAUGUAUUUGGAUCUUCCCUGCUUCUCAAGUUCAGAUUAGUUUCAGCACCUGAUAGAAACAGAGAAAAUGCUUGUCAGCCUCCUGUUAACUAGUGGCUUUCACAUUAACAGCAUCUCUAACAGUUUCCAGCUAGUAUUUGAUGUUAUUUGAAGAGUCAUCCAUACCUACUUGCAAGAGACUAGCUACAGAGAGCUAUCAGCUGUAAGAGCAUGGUGGGAGUUCAUGUUUAUAAAAGGAAUACAACUUUUAAGUGAAAACCUAAAGACUCUGCAAAAGUGAACAGCAUUUGGACUAUUAUUUCAGUAAAGUGA